UACGUAGGGUGCAAGCGUUAAUCGGAAUUACUGGGCGUAAAGCGUGCGCAGGCGGUGAUGUAAGACAGAUGUGAAAUCCCCGGGCUCAACCUGGGAACUGCAUUUGUGACUGCAUCGCUGGAGUACGGCAGAGGGGGAUGGAAUUCCGGCGUGUAGCAGUGAAAUGCGUAGAUAUGCGGAGGAACACCGAUGGCGAAGGCAGCCCCUUGGACCUGUACUGACGCUCAUGCACGAAAGCGUGGGGAGCAAACAGG
rnacentral:rRNA from 1 species